rnacentral:rRNA from 1 species
CCUACGGGAGGCAGCAGUGAGGAAUAUUGGUCAAUGGACGAGAGUCUGAACCAGCCAAGUAGCGUGAAGGAUGACUGCCCUAUGGGUUGUAAACUUCUUUUAUAUGGGAAUAAAAUGUUCCACGUGUGGGAUUUUGUAUGUACCAUAUGAAUAAGGAUCGGCUAACUCCGUGCCAGCAGCCGCGGUAAUACGGAGGAUGCGAGCGUUAUCCGGAUUUAUUGGGUUUAAAGGGUGCGUAGGCGGAACAUUAAGUCAGCGGUAAAAUCGAGGGGCUCAACCCCUUUAAGCCGUUGAAACUGGUGAUCUUGAGUGGGCGAGAAGUAUGCGGAAUGCGUGGUGUAGCGGUGAAAUGCAUAGAUAUCACGCAGAACUCCGAUUGCGAAGGCAGCAUACCGGCGCCCGACUGACGCUGAGGCACGAAAGCGUGGGGAUCGAACAGGAUUAGAUACCCCAGUAGUC